rnacentral:rRNA from 1 species
UACGUAGGGACCGAGCGUUGUCCGGAAUCAUUGGGCGUAAAGAGUGUGUAGGCGGCUUGUUAAGUCUUGCGUGAAAUCUCGGGGCUCAACCCCGAGCGGUCGUGAGAAACUGGCAGGCUAGAGUGCGGGAGAGGAGAGUGGAAUUCCUGGUGUAGCGGUGAAAUGCGCAGAUAUCAGGAAGAACACCCGUGGCGAAAGCGGCGCACUGGACCAUAACUGACGCUGAUGCGCGAAAGCUAGGGGAGCAAACAGG